rnacentral:lncRNA from 1 species
AUGAUCGACGAGCCCCUAUUGAAAGAUGGGAAGUUUGCGGACUUGACGUGUUGGCAAGUUUGGGGACUUGACGUUUGAAAGAUGGGAUAAAGAGGUCAAUUGAGGCCUGACAAAGGAGUUGAAGGAGCGGUGACCGCCCUAAGCUGAGGUCUCUCUUGCUCUUUGGUCUUGUUUUUGGGUACAUGUCAUUAGUUUUGUAUCUUUCGUUCCUUUUUAGUCUUGACCAUUGGUUAUUGUUUUUUUUUUCUGCCAGCUCCCUUAUAAGCAGGGGUGAAAAUAGGUCAAGUCAAGCCAGACUUUGUGUGACCCUGCAAGCCUCCCUGCAUUCUAUUUUCGUGGCCCAAGCCUGACUUGUGACUUGUCAACAAGCCGAAUUUUAAGGCCUGAUAUGACCUAUUAUAU